ensembl:lncRNA
CUCCUCCCCCUCCUCCUCCUCCCCUCUCCCCACUCCUCCCCCUCCUCGUCCCCCCUCCUCCUCCUCCCCCUCCUUCUCCCCCUCCUCCUCCCCCUCCCCCUCCUCCCCCUCCCCCUCCUCCUCCUCCCCCUCCUCCUCCUCCCCCUCCUCCUCUUCCUUCUUCUUCUUCUUCUUCUUCUUCUUCUUCUUCUUCUUCUUCUUCUUUUUCUCCCCUCCUCCUCCUCCCCCUCCUCCCCCUCCUUCUCCCCCUCCUCCCCCUCCUCCUCCCCCUCCUCCCCCUCCUCCUCCUCCCCCUCCUCCCCCUCCCCCUCCUCCUCCUCCCCCUCCUCGUCCCCCCUCCUCCCCCUCCCCCUCCUCGUCCCCCCUCCUCCUCCUCCCCCUCCCCCCUCCCCCUCCUCCUCCCCCUCCUCCUCCCCCUCCUCCUCCCUCCCCCUCCUCCUCCCCCUCCUCCCCCUCCCCCUCCUUCUCCCCCUCCUCCUCCUCCCCCUCCCCCUCCUCCCCCUCCUCGUCCCCCCUCCUCCCCCUCCCCCUCCUUCUCCCCCUCCUCCUCCCCCUCCUCCUCCCCCUCCCUCCUUCUCCCCCUCCUCCCCCUCCCUCCUCCCCCUCCUCCCCCUCCUCCUGUUCCCCCUCCUCCUUCUUCUUCUUUUUCUCCCCCUCCUCCUCCCCCUCCUCCUCCUCCCCUCUCCCCACUCCUCCCCCUCCUCCCCCCUCCUCCUCCCCCUCCUCCUCCCUCCUCCUCCUCCCCCUCCCCCUCCUCCUCCUCCCCCUCCUCGUCCCCCCUCCUCCCCCUCCCUCCUUCUCCCCCUCCUCCUCCCCCUCCUCUCCCCUCCUCCUCCUCCCCCCUCUCCCCCUCCUCCCCCUCCUCCUCCUCCCCCUCCUCCUCCCCCUCCCCCUCCCCCCUCCUCCUCCUUCCCCCUCCUCCUCUUCCUUCUUCUUCUUCUUCUCCUCCUUCUUUCUUCCUUCUUCCUUCUUCCUUUCUUCUUCUUCUUCUUCUUCUUCUUCCUUCUUCUUCUUCUUUUUCUCCCCCUCCUCCUCCUCCCCCUCCUCCUCCUCCCCCUCCCCCUCCUCCUUCUCCUUCUUCUUCUUUUUCUCCCCCUCCUCCUCCUCCUCCCCCCCUCCACCUCCUCCCCCUCCUCCCCCUCCUCCUCCCCUUCCUCCUUCUCCCCCUCCCUCCUCCCCCUCCUCCUCCCCCUCCUCCUCCCCUCUCCCCACUCCUCCCCCUCCUCCUCCUCCUCCCCCUCCUCCCCCUCCUCCUGUUCCCCCUCCUCCUUCUUCUUCUUCUUUUCUUCUUCUUCUUUUUAGAGUUCUUCUUGCUCCGAGUUUUUGUUGUAUGCAGGUCUUCCGGUAACUGGAUGAGGUGCACAGGUAGAGUGAUCUGUUUUACUCAGUCUGCAGAUUCAGAUGAGCUUGUUCUUAGGAGGCAAGCUGCCGGUGGUUGUUGCGCUUCGCUGGACUUUAAUCCUCGGUCCCUCCCUCCUCGGCCACUUCCACAUUCUAGACCGGAUCCUCCCUGGAAGAACGAACCGAGCACGGACACUCGGCGUGGAGGUGCCCCGCACUUCCGAGUUGGCAGGGCCGCUCACGUCCACCCUCCCAUCCUGCCCUCACCAGCAGGACCAGGGUCUGGGAUAACAGAACAGGAGGAGGGAACCGCAGAGUUGAGAGCGGACGGAGGAGGCAAAGCGACAUGCUGCCCCCAGCUGCCCAAGAUGUGCAUUGCAAUCACCUCCAAUUCAACUGCUUUCUCCUAAAAUGCCUUCAGCUGCCCAUUAGUGGGAAAUUACAGAAUAAAGAAAAUAAAGACGAUGUCCCCGG